rnacentral:lncRNA from 1 species
ACAAACAGCGGGUUAACAUCCCAACCCUAUACAGGCAAGCCCGCCCUGGGGACAGCAAACGAGUGGGGAAGCACAUCCUUUUCACUGGACUGAAGCAGCCAAUUUCCCUUCCGCGACAAACUUGGCCACUUACAAAGAAGAGAGAAAACGGAGCAAGCUGCAGCAAAAAUAAACGGUGAAGCGCGACGAUGCCGGCCAAGAAGACCCCCAGUUACUUACCGGCCUGCUUACCAGCCAUUUUGACCAGAAAGAGAAGCGUUGCCUUCUGGACUGGCAACACUCCAGAAAUGAUGGAGACAGGAUACAUCAACCUGUAUCACUGAAGAUGAUGUGGAGCAGAGCCUUUGUGGUCCUAAGAAACAUGUAUAAGAUAAAAACUUUUGUGGUUUUUCAAUCAUUUGAGGUUUUAGGAUUGUUCAUUGUAUCAACACAACUUGCCUAUUCUGACUGCUAAGGUUGUUCACUGGGUUAUUCAUAAAGGCAAAAUGAGGUUGUGAGCCACAGAAAGAGAGGACAGGAUGGUUCCAUGGUGUCCCCAGCUUAUUUUUUAUUGUUUCCUGUUUAUUGAUCUCAUCCAUUGGAGAACUCCAUGAAAGCACAUAUCUAUGCCACACUCACCACUGUAUUAUAGAACUCAAAUGUCGGUUGCAUGAAUAAAAUAUGUAACAGGAAGGCCACUAUACCUGGCCCUGACCAAUUACAAAUUUAGUUUUUCAUGAGGUUUUUUAAAGGGCAUCCAGCACACCACAGAACCCUGUGCACAACAAACUACCCCCAAAGUUAGCGGCUUAAAACACUUUCUCCCAAUUCUGAAUUCCGCUGGGUCGUUCUGCUUAGUGUAGUAUCUACUAAGUCUGGGACAUCCCAGAUAAUUUCUUCAUGCAUGUCUGGUGCUCAGUUGGCAUGUCUGAAAAAGCUGGGUUUGGCCAGACAUCUUUCUGUCCACCUAGUUUCUCCAGCAGAGUAACCAGACCUCUCUACACAGUAGCUUAGGGUGCCAAGAGCAAAUGUUCCAAGAGGGCAAGCCCUGAUGUGCAAAUCCUUAAGCCUCUGCUUGACAAAUGUCCUCUGGGCCAAAUCACAUCGGCCCAGAGUCAGUGUGGGAGAGGACUAACUACACAAGAGUGCAAAUACCAGGUAUGGUUCAUGGGGGCCCCCAGUGUUAACAGUCUACCCAAUCUGGUGAUCAUAAGGCAGACAACUGAAGUCAUGAUGCUUCGUUUUACAAAUAAAAAAGCAAAGGCUCAGAAAUGAAAUCACUUGCCCAGGAUAACACAUGUUGUAAAUGGAAAACAAAUAUUUGUUUACUGGUAAUAAGUCAAAGGCUAGUUAAGCCUUUCACUAUAUCUCAUUGCCCCUAAUCUUUAAACUCCACUUUCCUUUUCCUUAUUCUUAGCCAACUGUGAAUAUCUGUGUUCAAGAAGUUAACAAUGUAGAUAAUCCAAAAUGAAGUGUGUUUUGUAGCAUUAUCUGAGCAGUAGAUAUUAGAUGACUAAUGUAGUAUGCUCUGGAAACUCGUAACAGUUCAAAGGAAAUAAAGCCAUUUUAUAAUGAAACCA